GAUGAACGCUGGCGGCGUGCCUAAUACAUGCAAGUCGAGCGAACAGACGAGGAGCUUGCUCCUCUGACGUUAGCGGCGGACGGGUGAGUAACACGUGGAUAACCUACCUAUAAGACUGGGAUAACUUCGGGAAACCGGCGCUAAUACCGGAUAAUAUAUUGAACCGCAUGGUUCAAUAGUGAAAGACGGUUUUGCUGUCACUUAUCGAUGGAUCCGCGCCGCAUUAGCUAGUUGGUAAGUUAACGGCUUACCAAGGCAACGAUGCGUAGCCGACCUGAGAGGGUGAUCGGCCACACUGGAACUGAGACACGGUCCAGACUCCUACGGGAGGCAGCAGUAGGGAAUCUUCCGCAAUGGGCGAAAGCCUGACGGAGCAACGCCGCGUGAGUGAUGAAGGUCUUCGGAUCGUAAAACUCUGUUAUUAGGGAAGAACAAAUGUGUAAGUAACUAUGCACGUCUUGACGGUACCUAAUCAGAAAGCCACGGCUAACUACGUG
rnacentral:rRNA from 1 species